rnacentral:tRNA from 1 species
UCCCUAGUAGCUCAGACGGUGAACAGUCUGCUUUCAAUGCAGGAGACCCAGGUUCGACCCCUGGGUUGGGAA